AGUUUUGUAAGAAAAUGCCAAAAUGUUUUCCACAGUGACUGUAACAUUGCAUUCCCACCAGUAAUUAAUGAGAAUUCCUGUUCACCAACCUCAUGAGAAGUUGAUAUUUUUAGUGUUUUGGAUUUGGGCCAUUCUGAUAGAUGUGCAGUGGUAUCUCAUUGUUGUUUUAAUUUGCAUUUCCCUAAUGACAUCUGAUGUGACAUAUAUAUUUAUU